rnacentral:lncRNA from 1 species
CAAUUAAAAUUUGAAAUUUUAGAUCUUUUCUAUUGAUAAGGUAAAGAAAUAAUUUGAUCAAACUUUUUUUUGGUGAACCUAAGAAAUUUUGAUUGUUAGAUCAGAGUGCGCAGCGGAAGCAUGGUAAUCUGAAUUACUUUGAGUAAGUCAGGAAUGUUGAUUCUCUGAGUCAAAGAAUUAUAAUAAAUGAUAUAGUUUGAUACAAAAAAUUCAUGGAUAUUAGAAAGAAUAAUAUUUUAAAAUUUUGAAUUAUUUUAGAUAUCUUAAUGUGAUUUUUAAAAGUAGAGCUUCCACCUACUAUGCUACAAAAAUAAUUAGCAUCCUAAUUCUAGGAUGAGUGGACCAUUGAUUUUUGAUUUUAGAUUUAGAAUAUUUAGAGAUAAAUUUUUUCUAUCCCAGAAUUAAAUUUUAUAAUUCUCUAUUUA